rnacentral:tRNA from 1 species
GUUUUUGUAGCUUAAGACUAAAUCAAGGCACUGAAAAUGCCUAGACGAGUUUAUAACUCCAUAAACA